CACAGCCUCAAGGUGACACGUACAGACUCGCCUAGGUUGGAGGUGACCUCGGAGGGCAUAGUGUCCGUGCUAUGACCUAGCACUACCGUGUCAGCCAGACCGUGGCACUCAGUGCUGUGUCCAGUCUUUCCUUAAACACCUCCAGGGACGGUGAUUCCACCGUGAUUCCCUGAGCAGCCCAUUGCAAUGUCUGAUCACACUUCCUGUGGAGAAAUUACUGCUGAUGUCCAACCUUAACCUCCCCUGGUGCAGCUGGAGGCCAUUUCCUCUUGUGCUGUUGCUAUUGCCUGGGAGAAGAGGCCGACCCUCACCUGCCUACAACCUCCUGUCAGACCACCAGGGAGCUCCUUUAGCUGUGACAUUGUAAUGGGAGGUGGAGACACCUCGAGGAGAAGGUCGAGACCAACAACAGCAAUUACAGUCAAUAACAUCCUGGCUUGCCUCGAUUACAGAAACCUCAGGAGGACUGCACACCCUUCAAAUCUGUGUUGAUGUGUUUUAAAUACAUGGUAUGGAGCACAUCCACUCUCAGUAGGUUGCAGAGAGGGACCAUAAAAUCAUAGCACAUAUUUGGAGAGGUUUGGCUGCCUGUGUUCGAGGUCUGUCAUGAUACAGUGGAAUGUAAUCUGGGAUCAGAGUGCUGUGAG